rnacentral:rRNA from 1 species
GUGGGGAAUAUUGGACAAUGGGGGCAACCCUGAUCCAGCAAUGCCGCGUGAGUGAUGAAGGCCUUAGGGUUGUAAAGCUCUUUUACCGGGGACGAUGAUGACGGUACCCGGAGAAUAAGCCCCGGCUAACUUCGUGCCAGCAGCCGCGGUAAUACGAAGGGGGCGAGCGUUGUUCGGAGUUACUGGGCGUAAAGGGCGCGUAGGCGGCGGACCAAGUUAGGCGUGAAAGCCCCGGGCUCAACCUGGGAAUUGCGCUUAAGACUGGUCUGCUCGAGUGCGGGAGAGGUGAGUGGAAUUCCCAGUGUAGAGGUGAAAUUCGUAGAUAUUGGGAAGAACACCAGUGGCGAAGGCGGCUCACUGGCCCGCAACUGACGCUGAGGCGCGAAAGCGUGGGGAGCAAACAGGAUUAGAAACCCGUGUAGUCC